GCGCAACUCAGACCACUGGAGCGGAGUAGUAUCUGGAGUUUCUGUAACAUCCUUUCCCUUUUUUUUUUUUUUUAAAGCCAGAGCCUCUGUCGCCCAGGCUGCAGUACAGUGGCGUAAUCUCAGCUCACUGCAACCUCUGCCUCCCGGGAUCAAGCGAUUCUCCUUCCUCAGCCUCCCGAGUAGCUGGGAUUACAGGAUGGUGCUAGCAUAUAUAAGACUGAAACACCAAAGUCCUCCGUGGAAGUUAAUGAAUUUCUGGUUAUGAGUUGGAUUCUUCAGCGGAGUAUUUGAGCCAUGCCUUGAGGCACAUACUUCAAGUUGCUGCAUCCAGUUUUAAACUCCAGAUUGAGCUUUACAUAUUAAAUGUGCACAUUUGUUUUCACAUUUUUGAGCUUUGCCAGUGGCACCCUCUCUAAUUAAUCAUCCCGCGGGCUUAGAAAACUUCUGCCCAAUCCUUUCUGAUUUGUUAAAAGAAAGAGAGAAGGUUUUAGUCUGAAAAAGGCCUUAUCUGAUAAACAUCACAUUAUAUGGAUUUUUACAUUUAAGUACAUUUUCUUUUUAAAUCCGGUGGCUUUCCCAAACUAGAAAGAUGGAGUGUUUGCAUACAUCCACCAACCACCAACAUCAGCAGAAAGAAAGCUUGAUACAGUAAAGGAAAGAAAUGGCAAUUUAACAGUUCUUUUAUUUUCCAUUCAGAUCACAUACACAUUAACCAAAUGAGGCCUCACAGCGUGGAAUCUGAUAUCAUAGCAAUGUUUUCAGGAAGCAAUAAUUGAAUACUCCUCAUUAAAAAGGUUCAUAAAAGAAUCCUAUUAAAACCAAUACGAAUAAUAAA
rnacentral:lncRNA from 1 species